rnacentral:lncRNA from 1 species
ACUCCCACUAUUUUCUCGAAUUCCUCACACUCCCCUGGUAGGAAAACGGAAAUCCCACACGACUAGGGUUUCUAGUGGGUACUGCGGUCCCACCGAUUUACAUGCCACCUCACCUAACAGUUAUUGGUGACACAUAGAUUGAUGAAUGUACAACUCUUGUACAAUGCUUCUCAAGCAUGUUGCAGUGCAACUUGGUCUCUAAGCCAUGAAAACUUCACCUAACAGUUAUUGGUCCCAUUUCUUAGUUAAGUCAGACCC